rnacentral:rRNA from 1 species
GACGAACGCUGGCGGCGUGCUUAACACAUGCAAGUCGAACGGAAAGGCCCUGCUUUUGUGGGGUGCUCGAGUGGCGAACGGGUGAGUAACACGUGAGUAACCUGCCCUUGACUUUGGGAUAACUUCAGGAAACUGGGGCUAAUACCGGAUAGGAGCUCCUGCUGCAUGGUGGGGGUUGGAAAGUUUCGGCGGUUGGGGAUGGACUCGCGGCUUAUCAGCUUGUUGGUGGGGUAGUGGCUUACCAAGGCUUUGACGGGUAGCCGGCCUGAGAGGGUGACCGGCCACAUUGGGACUGAGAGACGGCCCAGACGCCUACGGGAGGCAGCAGUGGGGAAUAUUGCACAAUGGGCGGAAGCCUGAUGCAGCAACGCCGCGUGCGGGAUGACGGCCUUCGGGUUGUAAACCGCUUUCGACUGUGACGAAGCGUGAGUGACGGUAAUGGGUAAAGAAGCACCGGCUAACUACGUG